CCAACUUUGUGAUCCAGCUGCCCCAGGUAGGCAGAACACCCAGGUUUCAGACUGCUCACUGGGGGGCAUAAGCUUAGGACUGUUCUGAUUUACAUGGCAAAGGCUUUGAAACUGAACUGAUCGGCUGGGCGCGGUGGCUCACGCCUGUAAUCCCAGCACUUUGGGAGGCUGAGGCGGGUGGAUCACGAGAUCAGGAGAUCGAGACCAUCCUGGCUAACAUGGCGAAACCGCAUCUCUACUAGGCAUGGUGGCGGGUCCCUGUAGUCCCAGCUAUUCGGGAGGCUGAGGCAGGAGAAUGGCGUGAACCUGGGAGGCGGAGUUUGCAGUGAGCUGGGAUUGCGCCAUUGCACUCCAGCCUAGGCGACACAGCGAGACUCCAUCUCAAAAAAAAAAAAAAAAAAAAAAAGAAGAAACUGAACUGAUACUGGAACUACAAUAGCCCACAGGAGACAGAUGAGGAUCGAACCGAAGAGGGUCAACUGCCUCCUAAAACAAAAACCUGACAUUUUCCGUGGGAUUUAAACAAGACCUAUUCAAAAUGCCUAGGAUACAAUCAAAAUUACACACAAAGAACAAGGAAAGUCUGGACCCUGAGAUGACCCAGAUGUUGGAAUUAUCAGAAAAAGACUCUUUUUUUCUCUCUUUUUUUUGAGAUGGAGUUUCACUCUUAUUGCCCAGGCUCGAGUUCAAUAGCAUGAUCUUGGCUCACUGCAACCUCCGCCUCCUGGGUUCAAGCGAUUCUUCCGCCUCAGCCUCCCGGGUAGCUGUGAUUACAGGCGCCCGCCACCACAUCCAGCUAAUUUUUUGUAUUUUUAGAGACGGGGUUUCAACAUGUUGGCCAGGGUGGUCUCGAACUCCUGACCUCAGGUGAUCCACCAGCCUCAACCUCCCAAAGUGCAGGGAUUACAGGCUAAAUAAGAAUUUUAGAACUAAGAAAAUAUAAGAAUCAAGAUUUGGAAAUGAUGUUUCUGACCUAUUCCCUGGAAAAUGUGAAUGUUACUUUAUAUGACAAAGGAGACUGCAGAUGUAACUUAUGCAGAUGUAACUGAUUUUAUUUUUAUGUUAGUGGGCUCAUUCUAAUCACAUGAGUCUUUUAAAGCAGAGUGAUUCUCUCUGGCUGGACUUAGAUGUAACAGAAGGAAAAGUUAGAAGUAUUUAAAGUGUGAGAAGAAUUCAACCUAUUUCUGGAGGGGCACACGUAGAAAGCACCAGAAUGUGGGCAGCUUCUACAGAGAAAAGGCCAACCCCCAGCUGACAGCUAAGAAAACAGGGUCCUCUACCCUGCAACUGCAAUACACUAAAUUCAGCCAAGAACCCAAAUGAAUGUGGAAGCAGAUUCUUCCUCAGAGCCUCCAGGGAAAAACACAUUUGGUUUUGGCCGUAUGAAACGUGAUUUGGACCUUGUGAGACUCUAAGCAGAGGACCUAGUCAAGUCCAAUCAAGCUUCUGACCUAUAGAAAUUGUGAGAAAAUAUAUGGAUGUUGUUUUAAGCCACUAAGUUUGUGGUAAUUUGUUACAGCACCAAGAGUAAACUAAUACAUUAUCCAAAAUGAGCAGCAGAGAGAAAAAAAUUUUUUUUUUGAAACACAGUCUCACUUUGUCACUCAGGCUGGAGAGCAGAGGCACGAUCUUGGCUCACUGCAGCCUUGACCUCCCUCCUGGGCUCAAGUGAUCUCUCACUUCAGCCCCAACAAAUAGCUGGGACUACAGGUGCAUGCCACCACACCCACCUAGAGAAAAUUUUUUAAAAAAUGAAUAGUCUCAGGAAUUCACGGACAAUGUCAAAAGCUCUAACAUUCAUGUUAUCAAUGACACAGAAGUACAGGACAGUAUGGUACAGAAAACAAUACUUGAAGAAAUCAUAGCUGAGAACUUCCCAGAUAUCUGAAACACAAUCAAGUGGCUCUGUGAACUCUGAUAAGGAUAACCGAAAGAAAUCCAUGUCCAUAUACAUCAUAAUUAAACUGAUGAGAACCAAAGACAAGGAGAAAAUCUUAAAAAGCAGCUGGGGAAAAAUAAAGCAUUACCUGUUGGGAAACAAUAGUUAGAAUGCCUCUGGAUUUCUGAGAAAAAACCAUGGAGGCCAGAAGGCAUAGAACAAUUUUUUUUUUUUUUUUGAGAUGGAGUCUUGCUCUGUUGCCCAGGCUGGAGUGCAAUGUCCUGAUCUUGGCUCACUGCAACCUCUGCCUCCCGGGUUCAAGUAAUUCUCCUGUUUCAUUCUCUAAUCUCAGUAGCUGGGAUUACAGGCACUUGCCACUACGCCCUGCUUUCGUAUUUUUAGCAGAGACAAGGCUUUUGCCAUGUUGGCCAGGCUGGUCUCGAACACUUGACCUCAAGUGAUCUGGCCACCUCGGCCUCCCAAAGUGUUGGGAUUACAGGCAUGAGCCACCACGCCCGGCCUCAAUUGUAUUUCUAUAUACUAAUAAUGAGCAAUUGGAAAAAAAAUCUACAAUAGCCACCCCCCCGCCAAGUGAAAUAUAGUUUGAGACCCAUUCAUGGAUCUCAAAUCCAAAAAUGUGAAAUGCUCAAAAUCUAAAACUUUUUGAGAGCUGAAAUGACUAUCAAAGGAAAUACUCAUUUAAGCAUUCUGGAUUUUAGAGUUGGGAUGCUCAAGUAAUAUUUGCUUCAGGUAAAGCAAAUAUUAACCUGAAAAUAAUCCAAAAUAUUUCUGGUCCCAAGCAUUUCUUUUUUUCUUUUCUUUUUCUUUUUUUUUUUUUUUCUUUUUGAGAUGGAGUCUCACUCUUGUUGCCC
rnacentral:lncRNA from 10 species